rnacentral:lncRNA from 1 species
UUUGCCAGUCCCACCAAAAUUGUUUUCAGAAAAAGUUGACUUUUCUUCAACUUCUGUUUCAGAUAAAGAGAAAACACAGCCAACAUGGAUCCAGAGGAACCGCUCAAGAUUAUGCUUGUCUAUCCCAAAGCGUCCACAUUCUACUAUUAGUUGUGAAUCAUCAUCUUCUUGUAAAAGACCGCAAUUGAGCUUUGCAGCAUCAGACCAGCUUAGUGAAUCUGAAUAUGAAAGUAC